rnacentral:rRNA from 1 species
GACAGAGGUGCCAAGCGUUAGGCGGAAUCACUGGGCUUAAAGCGUGUGUAGGCGGGCCGAAUAGUACCUUGUGAAAUCCCCCGGCUCAACCGGGGAACUGCUGGGUAUACUGUCGGUCUUGAGCCACCUAGGGGCAGUCGGAACAAGUGGUGGAGCGGUGAAAUGCGUAGAUAUCUGGAAGAACACCAAUGGCGAAGGCAAUGUUCUGGCUCGUUUCUGACGCUCAGGUGCGAAAGCCAGGGGAGCGAACGGG